rnacentral:lncRNA from 1 species
AUAGUUCUCCUUGGUGAUGCUUCCAUCAAAGACCCUCCAGCGCCACUGGUCGAUGAGGUAACUGAAGGGAAUAAAGGCGAUCUUGUCGAGGGCCAUCUUCAUUAGAAAGUUGAUGUCAUACUCUGCCACGAGAAAGACAGAAAGAACACAGCCUCAGGUCUGACCUGAAGUCCUUCCUGUUGUAGAAGUCCCAGGCAGAGGCGUGGCACACCACCUCCCGUCCAUCCGUUGGUUUCUCCAGCAUUGACUCCGCCCAGAACUCAGGAGGCAUGGAACUGAAAGCAAGGAGAGAGAAAGACAGGGUGGAGCUGGAGGCCCGACUGUCUCUGAAGAGCUCCUGAGUACCAGGCCAGAACAGUGGAAGAGCAGGCUGUGCUUUCUGCUGGCUCAUUCUCAGGCCCAGCUGUGUGGCAGUGUGACAUCCUCUAUACUCUCCGAUUAGGGACUAAGUUCAGGAAUGAACAGCUCUGCCUUACAGAAAAGUGACGAAAUCAAAGACUAACUACUGUGAUAAAAUAAUGUAACCUUGCUUACUGAUAGCCUGGGUACUUGGAGUCACCACCCUCCUUCCUCAAGGUGACAAUAUAUUGUAAGAGCUUGUUGAAACACAGGGCUUUCCACUAUGCCAUACUUUUGGGGGAAGCGGAUACAGACUCUUUCAAUCUGCUUUAUUCUCUGUGGGUUUCCCAGAGCUUAGCAUGCACUUGUCACAAAGAAGGGAGCACAGGGGUGACAUGAAUGGCUGGCGUUCGAGCACAUGCUCCUGACGGGGAGCUCCCGGUCUCUGCAAGAGCGAUCUAUGACGAACCUCACCAACUUGGAAUUUACAGUAACACAUCGAAUAUCGUCAUACAUCAAAGUUAAAAAUAAUAACUUUCUCUAUUUUUAGGGUCUUGUUCAUGAAGGAGAGGGAACAUAAGAGAAAUAUACCUUACACUUGUAUUGCACGUUGGAUGUUUCUGUACCCUUAUGUGUGAGUGGUAUAAUUUGACGUUUAGAUAUCCCCGGGAGGUAGGGAAGUGGUAAGGUUUUCUCUCCCCUGUCAGCUCCCUCCCCAGAUGCCACAGACUGUGGAGGAGGCUCCCAGCCCUGCAGGAAGAUCUAAUUAGGAUGAGGCCAGUGAGGAGUUGUGCAGAUCCUGCCCACCUGUGCAGACGGGGCCUGCUCGUUCAGCCAAUCUCUCACCUUUUAAAUCCUUUCCAGUUACUCGUAACUACAGAGCCGAGGGAAAAUCCUUAAAAAUAAACUCAUCACUAAGC